rnacentral:rRNA from 1 species
CCUACUGGAGACAGCCGUGAGGAAUAUUGGUCAAUGGGCGGGAGCCUGAACCAGCCAAGCCGCGUGAAGGAAGAAGGCGCCAAGCGUCGUAAACUUCUUUUGUCGGGGAACAAAGGGCGCCACGUGUGGCGUUGUGAGUGUACCCGACGAAACAGCAUCGGCUAACUCCGUGCCAGCAGCCGCGGUACUACGGAGGAUGUGAGCGUUAUCCGGAUUUAUUGGGUGUAAAGGGUGCGUAGGCGGUCCGGAAAGUCAGCGGUAAAAGCCCGGGGCUCAACCCCGGCGAGCCGGUGAACCUGGCGGACUAGAGACGGCGAGAAGUACGCGGAAUGCGCGGUGUAGCGGUGAAAUGCAUAGAGAUCGCGCAGAACUCCGAUUGCGAAGGCAGCGUACCGGCGCCGGACUGACGCUGAGGCACGAAAGCGUGGGUAUCGAACAGGAUUAGAUACCCCAGUAGUC